GGACAGGGCAGAGGGCUGCUUUAAGGGAAGUGGCAGCGAGGUUCCUGUCCUCCUGAGCUUGGGGCCCAGGUGCCCACUGCUGCCAAAGGGAAGCCCUCAUGAUGGGUACUCACCCGUGUGGGGGCCACCUCAUCAUACAAAUGGGAAGAAGAAGCUGAAGGGCAGCCUGGCAUUGAUGGUGGGUGGGGCUCGGAAGCCUGCCUCUGCAGGGGCUGACACAUCCACAAAUGUCACUGCAGUGGAAAUGACCAUGGUCCUCUCAGGCCCUGGGAGGGGCUGUAAGGAAAAGAGUCAGCACUGUCAUCAUCUUCCUCACCCGCCCUCACGGCCAGCCUGAGGAGCCGCACGGCGGGUGAGGAGCACUAUGCUAUCAACUAUGCUGGUCCAGCAGCAGCAACCACAGUUCUGUGUUCACAAGAAUUGUGACUGCAAAUAAAACUGUCAGCCUUUUUGAGUACAAGUUAAA
rnacentral:lncRNA from 1 species